CCUACGGGAGGCAGCAGUGAGGAAUAUUGGUCAAUGGACGAGAGUCUGAACCAGCCAAGUAGCGUGAAGGAUGACUGCCCUAUGGGUUGUAAACUUCUUUUAUAUGGGAAUAAAGUGUUCCACGUGUGGGAUUUUGUAUGUACCAUAUGAAUAAGGAUCGGCUAACUCCGUGCCAGCAGCCGCGGUAAUACGGAGGAUCCGAGCGUUAUCCGGAUUUAUUGGGUUUAAAGGGAGCGUAGGUGGAUUGUUAAGUCAGUUGUGAAAGUUUGCGGCUCAACCGUAAAAUUGCAGUUGAAACUGGCAGUCUUGAGUACAGUAGAGGUUGGUGGAAUUCGUGGUGUAGCGGUGAAAUGCUUAGAUAUCACGAAGAACUCCGAUUGCGAAGGCAGUUCACUGGACUGCAACUGACACUGAGGCUCGAAAGUGUGGGUAUCAAACAGGAUUAGAUACCCGAGUAGUC
rnacentral:rRNA from 1 species